ACAAGCGGUGGAUGAUGUGGAUUAAUUCGAUGCAACGCGAAAACCUUACCUACCCUUGACAUGUCCGGAAUCCUGGAGAGAUUUGGGAGUGCUCGCAAGAGAACCGGAACACAGGUGCUGCAUGGCUGUCGUCAGCUCGUGUCGUGAGAUGUUGGGUUAAGUCCCGCAACGAGCGCAACCCUUGUCAUUAGUUGCCACCAUUCAGUUGGGCACUCUAAUGAGACUGCCGGUGACAAACCGGAGGAAGGUGGGGAUGACGUCAAGUCCUCAUGGCCCUUAUGGGUAGGGCUUCACACGUCAUACAAUGGUCGGUACAGAGGGUCGCCAACCCGCGAGGGGGAGCCAAUCCCACAAAGCCGAUCGUAGUCCGGAUUGGAGUCUGCAACUCGACUCCAUGAAGUCGGAAUCGCUAGUAAUCGUGGAUCAGCAUGUCACGGUGAAUACGUUCCCGGGUCUU
rnacentral:rRNA from 1 species